AAUUGUAAAUUGUAGAAUUCCCUCAUCUUCCUUAGUCUCAGCAUCCGUAUGGCUUGCAAAUUGUAGAAGCCUCGGAGGUGUAACCAGAGAAGGUUCCCAUUGUUUUCAUUCUGGUGGGAUAUGUUAUAUGCCAUUAGAGUGAAAACUUAGUCUUCUAAAAAUAAAUAAAUGUAAAAUGUAAAUAGUUAUCCUUAUCCUUGGUUAUCCGAACUCGAACAAAACAAAAACAAAGUCGGGAACAAUAGAUAAAAGAAUUAAAAUUUGAAAGGAUAUGCAAUAAACAUUGUAUAAGUGGAAGGCCAGCCACUUUAAAAAGAUAUUCCAAACCAAAACAUGGGUUACCAAAGCAGGCAAUAAAAAGAAAAGGUGAUCUAGAAUGCAAGAAAAGAGCUGAUGAAAGAAGUAAAUGUAAAGAAAAUAAUGCCGAGACUUCUCUCGACCAUGAACAAACACCAGAUAUUUUUAUAUAAUAUGUAGAAAAAGGAAAAACUGCUGGAACUUUAAUUUAAAGGCUUUUGACUAGUGAAGAUUUGGAUAAACAACAGGAGUUACUUUGGGCUAUAAUAGCUACAUGCAAAUUUAUUUUCUUGUGGCUUCCUAUGUUUAUUCUUAUUAACUAUACACUUUGAUAUGUUUUUAGUCGCAUGAAGAUUUUAUAGUUUAUUAUUUUAUGUAUAUUGUUAUAUUUGUGUUGAAUAAACAUUAUUAUUAUUA